AGAGUUUGAUCCUGGCUCAGAACGAACGCUGGCGGCGUGCCUAACACAUGCAAGUCGAACGGAUCAAGCGAAGAGCAUAGAGCGGAGAGCUAAGAGAAGAAUUCGGACUCUAUGCUCUAAGCUGUAUGCUCUUUGCUUGGUUAGUGGCGGACGGGUGAGUAACACGUAGGCAACCUACCCUUAAGCUGGGGACAACUCAGGGAAACUUGAGCUAAUACCCGAUAAGACCACGGGCUGGGAGGCUUGUGGUAAAAGGAGCGAUUCACUUAGGGAUGGGCCUGCGGCCUAUCAGGUAGUUGGUGAGGUAAUGGCUCACCAAGCCAAAGACGGGUAGCCGGGCUGAGAGGUCGAACGGCCACRCUGGAACUGAGACACGGUCCAGACUCCUACGGGAGGCAGCAGUGGGGAAUCUUGCGCAAUGGGGGAAACCCUGACGCAGCGACGCCGCGUGGAGGAUGAAGGCCUUCGGGUUGUAAACUCCUUUUCUUGGGGAAAAUGAUGAUGGUACCCAAGGAAUAAGCCACGGCUAACUCYGUGCCAGCAGCCGCGGUAAKACRGAGGGAGCUAGCGUUGUUCGGAAUUACUGGGCGUAAAGCGCACGUAGGCGGCUAUUCAAGUCAGAGGUGAAAGCCCGGGGCUCAACCCCGGAACUGCCUUUGAAACUAGAUAGCUUGAAUCCAGGAGAGGUGAGUGGAAUUCCGAGUGUAGAGGUGAAAUUCGUAGAUAUUCGGAAGAACACCAGUGGCGAAGGCGGCUCACUGGACUGGUAUUGACGCUGAGGUGCGAAAGCGUGGGGAGCAAACRGGAUUAGAUACCCUGGUAGUCC
rnacentral:rRNA from 1 species